rnacentral:rRNA from 1 species
CCCGCACAAGCGGAGGAACAUUGUGGUUUAAUUCGAUGAUACGCGAGGAACCUUACCUGGGCUUAAUGGGAGUGACAGCUGGCGAAAGUUUGGUUUUCUUCGGACACUCUUCAAGGUGCUGCAUGGUUGUCGUCAGCUCGUGCCGUGAGGUGUCGGGUUAAGCCCCAUAACGAGCGCAACCCUUACUGUUAGUUGCCAGCGGGUCAAGCCGGGAACUCUAACGGGACUGCCACCGUAAGGUGAGAGGAAGGUGGGGAUGACGUCAAAUCAGCACGGCCCUUAUGUCCAGGGCUACACACGUGUUACAAUGGUCGGUACAAAGGGCAGCUACACCGCGAGGUGAUGCUAAUCUCUAAAGCCGGUCUCAGUUCGGAUCGAAGUCUGCAACCCGACUUCGUGAAGUCGGAAUCGCUAGUAAUCGCAGGUCAGCAUACUGCGGUGAAUACGUUCCCGGGCCUU